AACGAACGCUGGCGGCAGGCUUAACACAUGCAAGUCGAGCGCCCCGCAAGGGGAGCGGCAGACGGGUGAGUAACGCGUGGGAACGUACCCUUUGCUACGGAAUAGCUCCGGGAAACUGGAAUUAAUACCGUAUGUGCCCUACGGGGGAAAGAUUUAUCGGCAAAGGAUCGGCCCGCGUUGGAUUAGCUAGUUGGUGGGGUAAUGGCCUACCAAGGCGACGAUCCAUAGCUGGUCUGAGAGGAUGAUCAGCCACAUUGGGACUGAGACACGGCCCAACCUCCUACGGGAGGCAGCAGUGGGGAAUAUUGGACAAUGGGGGCAAGCCUGAUCCAGCCAUGCCGCGGGAGUGAUGAAGGCCUUAGGGUUGUAAAGCUCUUUCACCGGAGAAGAUAAUGACGGUAUCCGGAGAAGAAGCCCCGGCUAACUUCGUGCCAGCCGCCGCCGUAAUAC
rnacentral:rRNA from 1 species